rnacentral:rRNA from 1 species
CGGUUGAUCCUGCCGGACCCGACUGCUAUUUGGGUGAGGAUAAGCCAUGCGAGUCGAAUGGGAUACCUAAAUUUCACAUGGCGACUGCUUAGUAACACAUGAUCAACUUACCCUAUGGAGAAAAAUAACCUCGGGAAACUGAAGGAUAAUGUUUCAUAGUUGAAAAGGCUUGGAAAAGUUUUUCGACGAAAUGGAUAAGAAAAAUGUUUCUUAUCCGCCAUAGGAUAGGAUCGUGGUCGAUUAUGGUUGUUGGUAAGGUAGCGGCUUACCAAGCCGAUAAUCGAUAGGGGCCGUGAGAGCGGGAGCCCCAAGAUGGGUACUGAGACAGCGACCCAGGCCUUACGAGGCGCAGCAGGCGCGAGACCUCCGCAAUACACGAAAGUGUGACGGGGUUACCCAAAGUGUUCUCUUUUGAACUGUGGUAGGUGAGUAAUGUCCCCUACUAGAAAGGAGAGGGCAAGGCUGGUGCCAGCCGCCGCGGUAAAACCAGCUCUUCAAGUGGUCGGGAUAAUUACUGGGCUUAAAGUGUCCGUAGCCGGUUUAGUAAGUUCCUGGUAAAAUCGGGUAGCUUAACUAUCUGCAUGCUAGGAAUACUGCUAUACUAGAGGGUGGGAGAGGUCUGAGGUACUACAGGGGUAGGGGCGAAAUCUUAUAAUCCUUGUAGGACCACCAGUGGCGAAGGCGUCAGACUGGAACACGCCUGACGGUGAGGGACGAAAGCCAGGGGAGCGAACCGGAUUAGAUACCCGGGUAGUCCUGGCCGUAAACGAUGCAUACUAGGUGAUGGCACGGCCAUGAGCCGUGUCAGUGCCGUAGGGAAACCGUUAAGUGUGCCGCCUGGGAAGUACGGUCGCAAGGCUAAAACUUAAAGGAAUUGGCGGGGGAGCAC